rnacentral:rRNA from 1 species
GGACUACAGGGGUAUCUAAUCCCGUUUGCUCCCCUGGCUUUCGCGCCUCAGCGUCAGAUCGGGUCCAGCAUGCCGCCUUCGCCACCGGAGUUCCUGUGGAUAUCAACGCAUUUCACCGCUCCACCCACAGUUCCGCAUGCCCCUACCCGCCUCGAGGCCUCCAGUAUUCGAGGCAGUUCUCCGGUUGAGCCGGAGGAUUUCACCUCGAACUUGGCGGCCCGCCUACGCGCCCUUUAAGCCCAGUUAUUCCGAACAACGUUCGCUCGGUUCGUCUUACCGCGGCUGCUGGCAC